UACGUAGGUGGCGAGCGUUGUCCGGAAUUACUGGGUGUAAAGCGCGUGUAGGCGGGAGGCCAAGUCUGUGGUGAAAUCGCCUGGCUUAACUGGGCGGGGUCCAUGGAAACUGGUCACCUGGAGGUCGGUAGAGGCAAGUGGAAUUCUCGGUGUAGUGGUGAAAUGCGUAGAGAUCGGGAGGAACACCAGUGGCGAAGGCGGCUUGCUGGGCCGGACCUGACGCUGAGACGCGAAAGCUAGGGGAGCAAACAGG
rnacentral:rRNA from 1 species